rnacentral:rRNA from 1 species
UACAGAGGGUGCAAGCGUUGUCCGGAAUCACUGGGCGUAAAGGGCGCGUAGGCGGCUGGAUAAGCCGCGUGUGAAAGCCCGGGGCUCAACCCCGGAACGGCACGCGGGACUGUUCGGCUCGAGUAUGGUAGAGGCGAGUGGAAUUCCUGGUGUAGCGGUGGAAUGCGUAGAGAUCAGGAAGAACACCGGUGGCGAAGGCGGCUCGCUGGGCCAUUACUGACGCUGAGGCGCGAAAGCUAGGGUAGCAAACGGG